ACCCUCUUAUUAUAUUGUUUCAUAAUCCAUUUCACAUACAUUAGUACACGUAGAGAAAUGGCUCUGAUACGUAUUCUUAGAUGAUAGUUUAAUUAAAAGUAACAACAACAGGAUUUCAGAAGGCAAAAUCCUCCCUCAAACCCGAACCCAAAAUGUUGGCAAAAAUUAUUGCAAUCGUCCGAGCAAUUUCCAAAACAGUAUCCAGCCUGUCGUUUCUCGCUGAUUGCAGACACUGAAACAAAAAGACUAAUACGAAUUAUCAUUUUCCGAAACUAAUCAAUUCCAUGCAGUAUCCUCGUUUAUCAAAAUACAUCAGAGUCUGUAGUAAUGCAUAUAUGUAGCAAGUGUACAUGGAUAAAUCUUGUGAUCAACAUACAUACCUUGCGAGACGAUUAGCAAAAUAAGUGCAAUCCAUAUCACAAGUUUCUUGGCGAGGAAAGAAAAACUCGUGUUCUCCAUUUCGUUCUAUCUGCUUUUGGAUCACUGAUAUGUUCUACAAAAU
rnacentral:lncRNA from 1 species